UAACUAGUCUUUCCAAGCAAAUUUCAAAAUUCUAGUAAAUAUUGUUACAAACCCUAAUACAUGUCCAUGAAAUAAAGAUUCAAUCACGCUACAAAACUCUCACGAAGUACAAAUAUAUGGCUAGAGCCAUCCUACUUUGAUCAUGGUUUUUAAUGACUAUAUUUAAAACAUGUCCUGCUAAUUCAGAUUGCAAGCCGUUCGUCAUCCUCGUGCCCAAGUUAAGAAGCCCCAGAAGCUGCAGCUGCAACGUACAUGCCUGA
rnacentral:lncRNA from 1 species